rnacentral:rRNA from 1 species
GAUUAACGCUGGCGGCGUGCCUAACACAUGCAAGUCGAACGAUGAAACUUUUUUGAUUUCUUCCGAAUGAUUCCAAGUGGCUUAGUGGCGGACGGGUGAGUAACUCCUGAGUAACCUGCCUUAGAGACGGGGAUAGCCUUUUGAUACGAAGAAUAAUAUCCUAUGAAACCAUUCCCUCGCAUGAGGAAUUCGUCAAAGAUCUAUCGCUUUAUGCUGGACUUGCGUCUGAUUAGUUGGUUGGUGGGGUAACGGCCCACAAAGACAGCGAUCAGUCGCCGGCUGGGAGGAAUGGACGGCAACCUUGGGAGUGGGACAAGGCCCGAAUUCCUAGGGGAGGCAGAAGGGGGGAAGUUGGCACAAUGGGGGAAUCCCGAAGGCAGCGAGGCCGCGUGAUUGUGAAGGCAUUCGGGUUGUAAAAAGCUUUUAUAUGGGAAGAAAAUGACGGUACCAUAGGAAGAAGGACCGGCUAAUUACGUG